CAUGGCUGCGCCCGCGCUAGGGCCGGCUCGAGGACGAGGCGCCGGGCUCGGUCUCGUUCUCUCUUUGCCUCUGCUCCUGCUGCUGGGCCGGGCGGCGGGGGGCGAAGAGGCCGGGGCCGAGGCGGGCGCGGCGUCCCUCGCGGGCUCGUGCGGUUGUGGCACUCCCCAGCGGCCCGGGGCCCACGGCAGCUCGGCGGCCGAGCACCGAUACUCGCGGGAGGCGAACGCCCCGGGCUCGGUAUCCGGAGAGCGGCCGUUCCCGCCCACCAAGAUGGUCCCCAUCCCUGCCGGAGUAUUUACAAUGGGCACAGAUGAUCCUCAGAUAAAGCAGGAUGGGGAAGCACCUGCGAGGAGAGUUGCUAUUGAUGCCUUUUACAUGGAUGCCUAUGAAGUCAGUAAUGCUGAAUUUGAGAAGUUUGUGAACUCAACUGGCUAUUUGACAGAGGCUGAGAAGUUUGGUGACUCCUUUGUCUUUGAAGGCAUGUUGAGUGAGCAAGUGAAGUCUGAUAUCCAACAGGCAGUGGCAGCUGCUCCCUGGUGGUUACCUGUUAAAGGCGCUAACUGGAGACACCCAGAAGGGCCCGACUCUACUGUCCUGCUCAGGCCAGAUCACCCGGUUCUUCACGUCUCCUGGAACGACGCCGUCGCCUACUGCACAUGGGCAGGGAAGCGGUUGCCCACGGAAGCCGAGUGGGAGUACAGCUGUCGAGGAGGCCUGCAAAAUAGACUCUUCCCCUGGGGCAACAAACUGCAGCCGAAGGGCCAACAUUAUGCCAACAUUUGGCAGGGCGAGUUUCCUGUGACCAACACCGGAGAGGACGGCUUUCGAGGGACUGCGCCCGUUGACGCCUUUCCUCCCAAUGGUUACGGCUUAUACAAUAUAGUAGGGAAUGCCUGGGAGUGGACUUCAGACUGGUGGACCAUUCACCAUUCUGUUGAAGAAAUGAUUAUUAACCCAGAGGAAAUCAAGACGUUUUCAAAUGAAAGAAAACUGGAGAAUUUGUCACCAGCAGACCUAUCCUAAAUGAAUGUCUAAAGGAAGUUCACUAAACAGAAAGGAAAUGAUUACAGAAAGAACCUUUGAACAUCAGGAUCGAAGAAGGAACAUAUGGAAUCCAACUGGAAAUCAGUAACAGAAAUAAAAUAGGAAAAUCUCCAACACUUGGACAAUAAGCACACUUCUAAAUAAUCCAUGGGUCAAACCAUACACCGAAGUGAAUGAAAAUGAGCACAUACGGACGAGUGCAUGCCUGACCCGUGAGGAGCGGCCUGUGAGAUGAGGCACCCUCCUGUGCCCCAGGGCCAGAUGCUCACUCCAGGUAAUCAACUCCCCACUGGGGCACAACGUAUAAGAAAAUCAGAAUAAAUGCUUGAUUCCGUGUCAUUUUCUAAGUGAAAGUGACAGUACAAUAUACUCAUAGAGAAAUGCCUCAUAUUUUUUUAACAUGCCUCAUUUUUAUUAACAACUGCUUAGUAUUCCACACUAUGGAUUUCAUCACACAUGGUUUAAAAGAAGUGCUUUUUGUCUCUUUGCUGACUGAUGAAAAUUUGUCAGACGCUCUGUUCCCUCUUUUGCUGUCCUUGUUGUAUUGCAUAUGCCACGGAGGGAAAGGGAAGCAUAUCUCUUGACUACAUAAAAUGUCGUUGUUUAUGCUCCUGUGAAGAAUGACCUGGCCACCCCCAGCACAUUGGUCAGCCCUCUUCCUGCAGGCUUACUCCUCAUUCAACACGCCAGUCUUGCUGAGGAGUGGUUCUGUGGCAUCUGCUGUGGACUUGUUUCAUCACUAAGGACUUUUAUGCCUUCCGAGGUGUUUUAGAUGAGGCUCUUUUCCCUGCACUGGCACUUGGAGCAUUGCUCCUUCAGCUCUUUUCCUGAGAACUUGAGAUGCACCUUGCUUGGCCUUUUGAGAUUAUCGGGGCUAACAUUUAGAAAGCUGCUUUUUUUUUUCUUGCUGUCCUUGCAAUCAUCCAAGCAUUAGAGACCUGUUUAUAUUUUGCUGUCUGGGAGUAGAGCAGUUAUGGGUAGUAGUCCCUUUGGAGACAACAUUCACAUGGGUUCUUGUCUGUUUCUGAUCAGGGUCUCUGUGUUUAGUGUGUAUUUUUACUUAGAUUCUUGAGUACUAGUGGUGCAGGUUGUGUGGGACGGCAGCCUCUCUUCUUGCCAAGUAUACAGGCAGAGAGGUGAGGUAUUCAGACACUACCGUCGGUAGCUUCUCAAGUUGUUUUAACCUGCAGUAACAAACUUGAUCAUGAGAGACAACAUUAAUUUUGAUUUAGCGAUCCUUUCUUUAAUUAAAAGAAAUGGAGACAUUUCCCCCUUACGUUAGUUUCCUAGGGCUUCCACAACAAAUUACCACAAACUUGGUGGCUUGAAACAACAGAAAUUUAUUCUUUUAGUUCUGGAGGCUAGAAGUCUGAGACCAAGGUCCUGGCUGGGCCAUACUCACUUCAGAGUUUCUAGAAUCCUUCUUUUUCUCUUCCUAGUUUCUGGCAGUUCCCCGGAAUCCUUGGCAUUCUUUGACUUGUAGCUGCAUCACUCCAGUCUCUGUGUCCAUCUUCACAUGGCCUUCUCUGUGUCCUCUCCUCCUGUUAUAAGGACACCAGUCACUGGAUUUAGGGCUCACCCGAAUCCAAUAUGACCUCAUCUUAACUAAUAUAGAAAUUACAAAUCUGCAAAGUUCCUAUUUCCAAAUAAGGUCACAUUCUGAGGCUCUGAGUGAACAUGAAUUUGAGGGGGGGACACUAUUCAACCCACUACACACUCCGAGUAAUUUUUCUGUUUUUUUUUUUUUUCUUUCUUUCUUUCUUUCUUUUUUUUGGCAAAGUGGUAAGCAUUUCAAACAAAUGUAGCUGAUCCUACAUCAUGUUGUUUUCUGGCAAAAAUAGUUUUAUUUAUAAGGACCAGAUGAGCAGCCACCUAGAGGACUGUGUUAACUGCUGUGGUCGUAUCAGCCCGGGAUGACUCUCUUGAGUGCUUGGGUCACUUUGAUGAGUGUCUUUUUUUUUUUUUUUUUUUGUGGUACGCGGGCCUCUCACUGUUGUGGCCUCUCCCGUUGCGGAGCACAGGCUCCGGACGCGCAGGCUCAGCGGCCAUGGCUCACGGGCCCAGCCGCUCUGCGGCAUGUGGGAUCCUCCCGGACCGGGGCACGAACCCGU